AAAAGACACUCACCAUCUGCGCUGGCGGUCUGGUAUCAAUCGGUCCUCGGCAGCUGGAGGCAGCUAUUCGCUCUCUCAUUCACUUCUCCGGGAGGCUUUGUUGCGGACGCUUGCGCCGGUGCCGGAUGUCGCACGUGAUUGGUUCUCAUCUGCUCCCGACGCGUUCAAGGGGUCAUCAGACAAACCGGCACUACAACUGGAACAAGAGGCUUUUGGGGUACGUAAAUGUUAGAUCAUUUGCUGUAUUUCGAAUGGGUUUAAAAGUGGUAGUGAUCGUGGCUGUACAUUUUGUUCUUUGAGAGCUAACAAUAUUUUUUUAGGACUGCUAUUAUGUACAUUAAUUUCAAUUUGUCUGAUAUCGGUCUUUUAGAGUUAAUUGUGUUAGGUGUCUUUGAACAUGUCAUGUAUGAUUUGGAUGCUUUAAUGAUUCUAACGCUGAUAUAUUAUCAAUUUAGUCAUCGAUUUGGGUCAAAUUAUUGUAAUAACUGACGGUUAAUUAUGUAUGAAUAUCAGUAUUGAUUAUAAUUAUAGCUAACUUCAGUUCCAUAGGACAUUUUAAAACUGGAUUCACAAAGUGCUUUACAAAAUAAUAAUAAAUAAAACAACAAUGAAAGAUCAGAAGAAAGACAACAAAACAUUAGCAAAGACGAAGAGAAAGACAACUGAACAUUAAUCAAGACAAUUAUUCAAUAGUUAAGACAAUAAACCUAUGAGCAACAAUAAAACAUUAAAAAUGAGUUACAGGGAUAAAAUAAAUAACUGCAAAAAAUUCAGAGCACAAAAUAUUAAAAGAAAGACAAUGAAACAUUAAUAAAAGAGUUACAAGCUGCUUUUGUAACAGCAGCUAAUUCUCCUGUUAAUAUCCUUAUGUAUUAUUUAACCCAUCUGUCAGACUGUUUUUAGAGCGGUUUUCAAUAUUCAACACAAAGUCUAUAUUAAACAGUAACAGGUAAGUGUAGUGUUGGUUUGGUUUGGUUCGAGAUAUUUAUUUCGAAUAUGUAAACACAAGUAUCAGGUGAGCAAAGAAUGGAUAUUAAAUAUCCAUAUAUAUAUACUGUAUAUGCAUACACAUACAUACAUACAUAUAGACAUACAUACCCAAGACUGAUAUACAUACAUAUCCAUACACAUGCAUGCAAAACAAUUUCAUAAAGCAGAAGAAUUUUGCCACACUUUUGGAGUAGAUCUACAUAUUCGAAAAGGAGUGAGAAGAAGUGAGCAAACACUUAUUUAAUCCCACCCCUUUUCCAUAAACUAUUGAUUGAUAAUUUCCAGCUUCCUAAAAUUUAAUUAUAUAACAUUCAAUAUAUAUUUAUACAUGUAAGAUAUGAUAAAGUAAUAUGAUAUUAUCGAUUUAUAUUUAUCUCUAUAAAUAUAUACACACACAUUCAUGUUUAUAUAAAUACACAUACAUACACCUAUGUACAUAUACGCAUUCAUACACACAUAUAUACAUACAUACAUACAUGCACAUACACAUACCCUCAUACCAAAAAGAACAGAACUAGAAACCAAUCAGUAAUUCAUCCUUAGUUACCAAUUAAGUAAUUAACAACAUAAACCAUAACUCCUGUAAACACCUGGCAUAAGUCAAGCCCCCUCUUCUUCCUUGUAUCAUGCAAAGAUCAUGUUUUUAUACUGUAUUUUAAACUGGUUUAUACUUGUACAUUGCUUCAACUCCACAUUCAGUGUUAAAAGAUGGCUAUAUAUUUUAUUUAUUUCAACUUUAUUCCAGACACUAGGUCCAAAUACACACACCAUAAAAACAAAGACACAACAAGACACAAAAAGGAUACAAUCAAAAACAGUUAAAACGUCCCUUUAAAGAGACAGCUAUACCAGUGCUUCCACAUCCCAGACUGAUAGCGAAUGGCACUACAGCCAAUAUUCACCAGUGACACAAUCACUUCAUUAUUUGAGAUAUUCAGUCUACAAAUAAAACUGUACAUCAUUUUACGCAGUGUGGCUUGCAGAGUGUUAAUUCUGGCUGACACAAACAUCUCACUCGCACUAGCCCAUCUUGGUCUCCUAAGAAGAACACGCAAGGCGUCAUUGUAGGCCACCUGCAGUCUUUGUAAUGUUCCUUUCUUGUACUUAGUCCAAAGGUGAGCAGUGUAUAAAGGUGUGAUAUAUGAUUUAAACAACGUUAUCUUCACUUUUUCAGUGCAAGACCCAAAUUUUCGUGCCAGUGUAUUUGCUUGAGCGUACAAUGUUCUACAUUGUCUAUUUAUGUCAUCAUCAUCAGACAAAUCCUCUGUGACGAUGUGACCAAGAUAUUUUAUUUUGUUUGUUACUUUCAGCACAUUAUUUGACAAAUAAAAAUUCGGAAAAUUGACA